rnacentral:lncRNA from 1 species
UCCCUUUGAAUGCAGCAACUAACUUUAAACACAAUGGGGUUAUUCAUUCAACUUUUUAGGGCCGAUUUCAACUAUAAACAACACUUGUGAGUCUUUCCUCACUUAUUUCAAACUCUUUUUCUUUUCUUUUUUUCUUUUUCUUUUCUAACCCGUGCCUUAUUACUUUCUUUUGGCACACAAAACACAAAAAUCUCAUUCCCCCAUACUUGUUUUCUGCAUAAGGACAAUCAAAAGGAAUUCAUUUUAAGUCAUGCUUCAUUAUGCUUUAAAAACAAGGGUAUGGAUAGUCCUAAUCUAGGCUAGGUAAGGGAAAUGUGGUUUAACAAAGAAAACAGGCUAAACAAGGCUCAAUGGGGUUAAACUUAAACAAAUAUGCACGGGAUAAGCUUUUUGGCUCUAGUUCACUACACAACUUCAUCUUGAAUAUGUGUUAUGCAAAUCAAUGUCAUGCUUUGAAUGGAACGGGCAUAAGUUCUAGUAUUUGGAACUAAAUGAUGAAACGCCUUCUAAGUAGCAACCAAGCGCAAAGAAUGAUGAGAUCAUGCAACGACUUUAGAAAACAAAAAUGCACAGAUUAAUAACUCUCCAAAGAACGUAUUAGGCUCAAGUCUCUCAAGGUUGUAGUGUUAGUUUGAGUUCCUUCCUUCAAGCAUGUUACAAAAAACUGAUUUUUUUUUCUUUGUGAUUACAUGUGAAUUCGUAAACUAUAACUAUAACCAAGCAUAAAUCAAGAGCAUAUCAAACUUUCAUCCAUGUUUAUAACUUUCUUUAACAGUCAUGCAAUUAACAAACCAAAUCCUCAUUAUUGUGUUGGAAGGUAUCCUAAGACACAAACAAACACACAAAAACAACUCUUUUGGCUUUUUCAAAAACAAUUUUUUUUUUCAAACUUUUGUCAAAUUUUCGGAUUUUUAUGUCAAAACAUACUAACAUGCUUAAAAACACACUAAAAACACUUAAAACAGCAAGAAACAACAUUGUAAGUGAUAGGUGAAUAAAAUCCCACGAAAAUCAUGCAACAACAACUUGUUUACCCCCCCCACACUUAAAUCUAACAUUGUCCUCAAUGUUUCAAACAUAAACUCACACAAAAGCAAACAAACAA